GCUUAUGAUAUGGUAUAUCUCCGUCAGUAUAGUCUGAAAAGCCUUAUCUAUGUUAACUGAUUCCAAUGCCGAUGUCUCAAGAAAUGACAGUCCUUCCUUCUCAGCUAAAGUUUGACCAUCCUGGUCAGUGACUGCUCUAAGAUGGUUAAGGUCAGACUUGUUUCCGGCCAUCACAAUUACAAUGUUAGAAUCUGCAUGGUCUCUCAAUUCUCGGAGCCACCUCUGAACAUUGUCAAAUGUUUGCAUCUUUGUUAUGUCAUAAACAAGGAGUGCGGAGACUGCUCUAAGAUGGUUAAGGUCGGACUUGUUUCCAGCCAUCAUAAUUACAAUGUUAGAAUCUGCAUGGUCUCUCAAUUCUCGUAGCCACCUCUGAACAUUGUCAAAUGUUUGCCUCUUUGUUAUGUCAUAAACAAGGAGUGCACCAACUGCUCCUCU
rnacentral:lncRNA from 1 species